rnacentral:rRNA from 1 species
CAGUAGCCGCGGUAACACGGAGGGGGCUAGCGUUGUUCGGAAUUACUGGGCGUAAAGCGCACGUAGGCGGCUUGGUAAGUUAGAGGUGAAAGCCCGGAGCUCAACUCCGGAAUUGCCUUUAAGACUGCCGAGCUAGCAGGUGAGAGAGGUAAGUGGAAUUCCGAGUGUAGAGGUGAAAUUCGUAGAUAUUCGGAAGAACACCAGUGGCGAAGGCGGCUUACUGGCUCAUACUGGACGCUGAGGUGCGAAAGCGUGGGGAGCAAACAGGAUUAGAUACCCGCGUAGUCCCUGUCUCUUAUAC